GGCGGCAGGCCUAACACAUGCAAGUCGAACGGUAACAGGAAGCAGCUUGCUGCUUGCUGACGAGUGGCGGACGGGUGAGUAAUGUCUGGGAAACUGCCUGAUGGAGGGGGAUAACUACUGGAAACGGUAGCUAAUACCGCAUAACGUCGCAAGACCAAAGAGGGGGACCUUCGGGCCUCUUGCCAUCAGAUGUGCCCAGAUGGGAUUAGCUUGUUGGUGGGGUAACGGCUCACCAAGGCGACGAUCCCUAGCUGGUCUGAGAGGAUGACCAGCCACACUGGAACUGAGACACGGUCCAGACUCCUACGGGAGGCAGCAGUGGGGAAUAUUGCACAAUGGGCGCAAGCCUGAUGCAGCCAUGCCGCGUGUAUGAAGAAGGCCUUCGGGUUGUAAAGUACUUUCAGCGGGGAGGAAGGUGUUGUGGUUAAUAACCACAGCAAUUGACGUUACCCGCAGAAGAAGCACCGGCUAACUCCGUGCCAGCAGCGGC
rnacentral:rRNA from 1 species